UGUACCAAAUAUUUUCACUUUUCUCAAUACGCAUCUAAACAACAUUUUAUUUUUUCUUGUAAGUUUUAAUUAAAAAAUCGAGAGUUCUGAUUGAAUUCGGUGAUGGAUGAUAGUGAACCGAUUUCUUCGAGGUAUUUUCCGGCAGAUCGGAGUUUCUUCCUCUGUUUCUGAAGCUAUCGGUUACGACUGGUUCAGGCGUCGGAGAUUUAAUUAAUUCAUUAAGAAAAACUCGCAAUCGGAACUUCGAAGAUCUGAUUUAAUCGAAACUUGAAGCUGCUCCGGGGAGUUGUAUCAGCAUUGUAUGUUAAUCAUCUAUUUGCAGACGCAUUGACUUUUAUCAGGGAGGAAAUUGAUUCCAAUUCUCCUAAGUUUUCCGGCAGAGAGAUUAAUUUGAGUGAUCAGAGUUUCUUCCUCUGGUUCUGCUGUUCUCUGUUCAACGUGAUGAUUUGAUUUAUGCGAAAAUUUGAUGGCAUUUUGGUUUCUCUGUUCCGGCGGAUUUUGGAAUCUGAUUUGAUCAAC